UCCUGAAGUUGGAUCCAGCUAAACCCAUUGUUUGUAUUUAAGAAGCAGUGACCCACAGCAGCGCGGCGGUUCCUGCGGGCCCUGGAGCACCGCCCAUCCUGUCGCCCCCGGGCCCUCAGGGAGGAGCUGCGCCGCGGGGGCCACGGGCGGCUCUCGCUCCGAGAGCUCGCAGCCUGCUCCGGGGAGGCAGGUUCACGGCGCCUUCAGUGGCUCAGACUGCGGCUCGGACACGGGUCCGCGGCGGGUGUCCGGGGACCUCAGAGAAAGCUGGAAGGAGCGGGCAGGGCACUGGAUCGCUGGACCGCGGGGAGCCGGGAGCCCGCUGCCAGGCCGUCACACUACCCUGGGCGGUGCCCCGCCUCCUGCGCCCCCGCUUCCUCACCUGCCCCGGAGCAGCGUCCGAGGCAGGGGAUCCACAGCCCUGGCCGGCCUGGGGUGUCUGUGCUGCCCCCACGCACACCUCUGCAGAGCUUCUUGCUCUCAAAGGACCGCCCCGCCUGACUGCAGGGCGGGUGCCAGGCGGGGAUGUUGGGGUGAGUCAGAAACCGAAGCCGGCCGCUGCUGCCUAGGCAGCCAGGAACUGCCUUGAGAGGAGGAAGCCUUGGUUCUGAACUCCUGCCAACUGGGCGGACGAGCAGGCCUACUGGAAUUAAGGAUCCAGAGCACUUGGGAGAAAUGCAGCAGAGGUCUUGAACAAUUUUCAUGCACUUAAUGAAGACUUUCACACACUUCCCAAGGACCAGGACUGGCAAAGGACAUGGAACCAGGACACAACUAUGUACCUGGAGGGACAUUGAGCUACCUACUAUUUCUGGCCCUAAAUCAAGAAGAUGGUCUUCCUAAACACAAAUGGAAAAUAUAUUCACUUCUGUGUAAUCAUACUCAUACUGUAAAGCAUCCAUCACUACUAGUAUUUAGGAGGUAGUCUCCUAGUUUCUGCUAAAAGGCUUCCCACAUCCUUGAUUUCUGGACCACAUGACAUUCUAGACCUCCAUUUCCCUUCUAAGCAUCUUCCCAAAUAUUUCUGCUCUCUCAGGCAACUCUAUUAGUAAAUGUUGAAAGAUUCCUAAUGCUAGACCCCUACUCAGGCAUCCCAGAUCUUAGAAGAAAAAGAGGAUUCUCACUGAUUAAGCACUUGCUAUGUGCCAGGUACUGUGAGGGCAGUUUACAUCUGUUUCUUUAUGUAAUCUUCAUAGCAACACAGUGAGAUAGGUAUUAUCAUCUGCUUUGAUAGAUAAGGAAACAAAACUGCAGAGAGAGAUCAAAUAGCUUGCCCAAAGUCACACAGGAGAACCAGGGUUGAUCUCAGAUACAUGUUUGAAUCUUAUGCCUCCAGCACUCUACCCCUUAGAAACUGGGGGUGUCUGACCAGACCUCCUAGCCUGGCUCACACUGCCUCUAGGGUCUAAAAAAGUACUGUCUUUCAAAUAACUGUAGAAUUCCACUGUCCUUAUAUAACUUUAUUACAUAAAGAAUAACCAUAGGUCUUGAGGCUAAAUUAAUGCUAAACCAGAAUCACAUGUGGCCCAAUGUUGAACACUUAACUUAAGGUGACAGCAGUGUCCAGUGGGGUCUUCCAGGAAUCUGCAGACCCAAGGGGCCUACUCUGAGGCUUGGAAAUGCCCAGAGCUAGCUGCCCUGGCUUUCCUGUUACACUGCUUAGCAAUCAGGGAGGUCCCAGGACAGGGGUUAACACCCCCUUCAGGAAUGAGGGUAGCUAGGGUCCUCAGGGGAGCUUCCAGGGAGCUGCUCAGUGGCUAGGAAGGUGCUAAGGGGUGCAGCCCAGCUGGAGGCCAGGCCUCAGAUGACAGUUAACCAGAGGGCCAGCCUGCCAGGGCUGUGAUUAGGGCUGGUCCCUCCCAGGAGCCCUGCUAAUGAUCCUUUGUAGCAGAGCUUGCAUAAUUCCAUACUUCCUAAUUUCUGAAAAGAAUGAAUCGCUCUCCCUUCUGUUUGCCUAGAAGAAGAGCUUAUUUUGAUAAAAACCUCCAGGGAAAGUCAUAGAAAAUCACUUAAGAAAAACAGAGACUUUUAAAAGAACGUUCUGAGCCUGUCAAGCGGAGUAAUUUGCAGUCGACAAGGGGCACGCUGAGGUUGGGAGAAGCCUUCCAGAGGAGUGUGCAAAUAGGCCACAGAUCAUUCUGAAAAGGAAGCCCACUCAUCCCAGGACACUGGAUUUCAAAUAGAACAGGGAGCCCUGGAGGCAGAGAAAGGUGGCUGGGGACAAGAGUAAAUGACUGCUUCUCUCUCUCUGCUUCGGACUCGGCCCUCAGACACACCUCAGAGUCUCCCGAGAUGUCUCUUAAGUCACCGAUGUCACCAUGGCCGGCGGGACCCUGUCGCUGGACGCUCCGCCAGGAGGCCCCAUCCACUGGAGUCACCGAACUGACAGACUGUUUGCUUUAAGGGACAAAGGCACGGAGUUGAGACUAGGAAGAGGGGGCUGCAGGGGAUUCCAUUCUAGCCGCAGUAGGACCCCCCAAAUGGCCAGACCCAGAGAAAAAGGGGCCCCCAAGGUACCUAGCCCUCCAGUCGAGCCGAAAGGUGGGCAGUGUACCCAGUGCAAGCUGCUGGCUCUGACAGCCGCAAGCAGAUUCCCUGUACAAAAAGGGAAAGGAGGGAAAAGGCUAUGAAUGCUGGCCUGGCUCCCAGAAGCGAGGCUGCCCAGAAAAAUGGAAACAGCUGCUCACCCACACGACCAGUGGGCUUGGCAAGCGCAGGUCAGAGCAGGCUCCAGAGCAGGAGGCGGAGCCCCGGGUUCGGGUCCCUGGGGCUUGUCCCUUAGUUGCCAUAACCACGCCCGCCCCACCCCUUCAAGGCUCGGCUCACACGUGGUGGGAGUAGCAGGAGCUCUGGGCUGGGAGUUUUCAGUCCGGCAGAGUGCCUAACUAGCUUCAUCACGGGAGCAGUGACUCACGUCCCCUGGGCCCAGGAGGGCCCUCUAACCAGAUGAGGUUUACUGUGAGGAUGCCCACAGACCUUCCAGCCCUGACAGCUGGCCCAUCGGGCCUCCUGCUCUCACAGCCGACUCCCCGCGGGACCUGGGGAGCCAGCGCAGUAACAGCUCCCCGCUGCCGGGAUGGUGGGGACCUGUUCUGCGCACUGUGUAGGAUGCCCCGCCCCCGUGCAUAGGGUGCCCCACCCGCCGUGUAUAGGAUGCCAAGUGCCCCCCCACCGUGUGUAGGCGGUCCCGCCCCCCUUGAGACAGGGCCUGGCCUCCUGUACAUCGCACGUCCCCAGCAGUUCUGGGACCAAUGGAGACUUGUAAGUAUUUAUUGCCUGGUUAAUCAUGGGCCCCGCUAGAGCCGAUUAUUUGGUGUCCAGCGAAUCCUGGUUCCAACUGGAGCUGCGAAGUCGAGAUAAAUGCCGCUGCCUCUGUAUGGCUCAGCUUUCUGCGAUAUAAAAUGUGGCUGAUGAGUGGAUUAAACCAAGUAACACAUGGCAAGCAGGAGGGGGCCCAAGCAACUGGAAUCCUUGCUCACUUCCCUCUAGAGUCAGGGAAAGAAGCCGGUUAAGCCUAGGGGGGCAGGGGCCUUAUUGCUUUUAGGGCCACAUAUGUCACUGGGGAGUGGAUGGUGCAUCUGCUGGGCUCGCACCUUCGGGAGCGGCCUUAUGCUGAGGCUGUAGUUCCAUGGUGAGGUGGUGUGCAGCACCUUACUUAAACACAGCGUGGGGUGAGCCCUGCUCCUGUGAAGGGGCCUCCUUGCAUCCCAAUCCUUCUGUCUCUGAAGCCCCUCACACCCCUCCAGCUUGUCUCUGAGGCUGCUCCUGCCUCGCCAGCUUCUCACCCGUGGGUGGGAGUGGAGGAGGAUAGGGACAUGCCUUACAGAAGGUUUCUGGAACAGAGGUGAGGAUAUUCAAUACAUGUGGCCUAUUCUGAUGAGCGGGAAUUUAACCCUGGAUUGCCCCAAACCUAAACAGGCCUUGCGGUGAUUCUUUUGGGUGGGAUUCUGUUUCAGUUGCUGUAGGGAUAAUAAAUGUGCAUUUCACUUUACAGGUUACAAGUACACUAUUUCCUGUGAUCCUCACCAUAAAUUGGGGGGCAGAAGGAAAGGAGUUCUUGACUCCAUUUUACAAAGGCAUUGAGUCCCAGAGAGGGUAAACAACUUGCCCAAAGUUCCACAGCUUAUUACUGGAAGGCCUGGAAUGCAGCUCCCGUGGAGACCUGGCUUCCUGAGGGAAGGAAGGAGAGACUCUCUUUGUUCUGCCUCAUGUAUUGAGCUUCGGAGGGAUCUGUUCUGUUCACUGGUGUAUUCUUGGUG